UAGGGAAUAUUGCUCAAUGGGCGAAAGCCUGAAGCAGCAACGCCGCGUGGGGGAUGAAGGUUCUCGGAUUGUAAACCCCUUUCGAUCGGAACGAAUCCCCUCCCUGGUAAAUAAUACAGGAGGAUUGACGGUACUCGAGAGAAGAAGCCACGGCUAACUCUGUG
rnacentral:rRNA from 1 species